rnacentral:lncRNA from 1 species
CUUUCAUCUGACUAUCCAUAAUUUGAAAUUUUCCAUAAAAUUAAAAACUAAUGAUUUAUAUUUACAUGAAUAUCAUAUUGAAAAUAGGGUGCUGUAUGUCUUACUUUGGUGUUGGCGUGAAUUUGUCCUAGCUUGAAAAUUUGAAUUUUGGGUUUUAUUUUUGAUAUUUCUUUUUUGAUCUGCAAGUUUGCUUUUCUGUUUAAUGAGAUUGCUAUGGCUUCUGGACAACUUUUGAGAUCACUGACAACUUCGAAAAAGAGGUCGACCAUGUAAUACAAUAAAGUCUCAGAUGCCAGAUUUGCAUACUAUUGAGAAAUAUGUAUCUACACAGGAUGUUUUAAAUGCAGGAAAAAGGAAUGAAAAGGAAUUGAUAAAUGUUGAAUUAAAAGAUAUAUUAGGAGAGGAAGAAAUUUCUGCUAAUUUGGAAUUUAGUAAGAUGAUAAAUUUAAUUACUGAUUUCCAUAACUCAUUGAGUCAUGAGAUAUCUGAGGUUAAACCAGG